UAUUAUUCCUCACACAUUCCAGCAAAGUGUAGCAAAGCUCCUUUUUUUAUAUUCUCAAAGCCGUUCAAGAAACAGUUCGUCCAAAAAUGCUCAAACUUCCUAUUAAAAUAAUUGUGAAAGUAAUCGGUAAACUUUUAAAGAAAAUCGCAGUUGUAGCAUUAUUGGCAAUGUCUCCUGCCAAAAAGUUACUUGUAAAAAAAAUAAUAUUUUAAAAAGCAGUGAUCAUGGGAAGAAUUUUAUAUGAGUUCUACUUCAAAAUCACCUGAAGAAUCAUUGCUUGUUAUACCUGCACACUUCCGUAUCACCAACUAAUCAUCCAAAGUGGCACCUUUUCUUUGGGCAGGUUGUGAAAACUGCAAUAAGAGAUUAAAGAUGAAAAGCUCAUGCAUGUAAAUAAAAAAGUCCCUUAAAAAACAGCUUUGGGGGCACUCAGCAAGAGACAAUGCGCAACAGAAAAAUUAUACGAUGCACACAAUGAGUUGUAACGUCGACUCUUUUAUAUUCUCACUUCAUUGUAAUGUUUUACGCAAAAUAAUGUUUUAAGUAAAUUAUCAACUUUUGUUCAACUCCUCUUGAACUUCAUUGAGUUUGUGUGUACCGAGUAUGACCUGUGCAUCUUAAUAAAACUCUCAUCUCUUCGGUGACUCGUGGAAGUUCGUUUUGAUAAGCGUUGUUUGGGCAAGAUAGCCAAAGCGCCCUCGAUUUUUGUGUAUGCAUCACGCAUAUCCGGAGAGUUCGAAUAAUUGCAUCAAGAAUGCACGUCGCGCGUUGUAGGCGCUGUGCGUUGCAAUCUAUGCCACGGAACAAUUUUUCUUCGUCGAUACGUGGCACUCUUUCAUUUCAAACACUUUUUUGUUCAAAACGUCAGGUUUUAUCGAUGUAUAUUUGAGAUUUUUUGAAUUGGGCAAGAACAUUGGGAAAAAACCUGGUCGAAGCAAUUUUAAAUAUAACGUGAAAAAUCGGGCAAUUUUUGUGAUAUAUAGUUAUUAUAGGCAUGGCGGCCUUUUCGAAUGUGUUGCACACAUUUUUGGACCUCAACUUCGAUUUUUUUACUUUUUCUCUACAAUGGCGGCCAAUGCACGACGGAAAACGAGAAAUCCAAGGUGACCAAGUAGAAAUUGACCUUUCAUAUAAAUGAUAUGAACAGUUUUACAAAUUUCCAGAUUUCCCUUGUAAUUACAUUGAUGCUUAAAGAAUUUUCGAGGGGAAAAACGACAAAAAUGACGGUAUUUUUGACGGUUUCUGUAUCAUUGCGGGCAUCGCGCAUCCCACGACAAACAGCAAAGGAAUCUCGGAGCUAAGUGAAAUUUGCCCUUCCAUACUAAUGCUAUGUUCAUUCAUGUGCAUGUUCCUGUUCAUGUUUAUGUUUAUGUUCAUAUUAAAUUGUUUAUGUUCAUGUU